GUUUACUAUAAUAAUGGUCUAGCCCCCUUUUAGUGCUGAUAUGAAGCACUGAAAAGAUCAUUUACCGUAUUCGAACACAGUUUAACCAGGAAAUUUCGCUUAUCGAUUAGGAAUUACACAAGAAUUACAGAUUAACAAAUUUAAUUUCAUCACAUUCAUUCAAACAUUAUGUACAUUCAACAUGUAUUAUACAUUUUCUUCUGUCGUGUCAUGACGUCAAAGUGAGAAACUUCUGAAUGUAAAGUGUUAAGUAUUUAAUAUUUACCUGAUUUAAAUCUGGAUCAUAUCCCCCCGUCACUGAUGUAUCACACACUUCACAGGUAAUGUGACGGCGAAUAUCAAUUUCACUGUAAGUAUAAUUUUUAUACAUGUAGAAUAAUAGUAUUACAGAUAUAUAGUUUAUUUAUGUUCAAUGCUUACAGUAUUUAUGCUAAUGAAAAAAAGACAUGACAAACUUUAAAAACUACAGCAUAUUCCAUUAUUGUUUGUAUAGAUUCUUAAAAAUAAAAUCUUACACUAGAUAUAUAAUAGUACGGCCAUAUUAAAAUAAUAGUUAAAAAUAAAAAAAAACUGUGUUACAUACCACCCUGAACUUUUUAAUGCUGCCAGCAUAAGUUUAACUAGAGCACCUGAAAUGUUGAAACACAAAAAAAUUAGUAAUCCUUAAAAAAAGGAUAGCUGAACGCGAUGAUAAAAGUAUUCUUACACUAAAUUAAAUUGACGCAUAGUGGAAAGAAACCGAAUUCAGUGGUCAAAGGUCAAUCUUUUAAGGUUUAAACAAAAUUAACUGAUUCGUUUAAUGCAAAGAAAAUUGUUUAUCACUAACGAAUAAAAAAAAUUUCUUUUUAGAAGCUCUGAUUCUCGAAUAAUAUAAUUGUUAACAAAUUUGAAAGUGUAAGAGCCGACUCUUGGUGUGUAGCGCGGUGUCCUUUGUCGGAAGCCGAUACAGUGUCCGAAAAAUUGGGACACACGUGCGGAAACAGUUUCGCAGAACUGUUAACAAGUGCCCCUCAACGCAAAGACGCUUAAAAAGGGAAUCGAUCAUCGAUCGUUACGCAUUCCGAAGUGGAUCGUCAGUCGUGUUCCGAUAUAAAAUAAUUAAAAACUUAAAGGAAGCCAAUGUAGAUUUCCAUACGUAUCAAAUGAGGAAGGAUAAAUCAUACAAAGUUGUAUCAUUCUGCAGAUACAAGGGAAAUAGAUGCCCUUGCAGAAAUGGGUCAUAAAGUUAAAAAUAUAUAUAUAUAUAUAACCUUGUACAUAAAGUUACAAAACAACCGCUUUCUUUAUGCUGUAUGGACCUAGAAUCAGCUAGCAACAAUAAAGAUAUUUACGACAUACAAUUUUUACAACGCGCGAAAGUUCAAUUCGAACCACCGUACAAAAGAUGAGAGACAGUACAAUUCAAACGUUGUCAACGAUACUGACGCACUAAAUCAUAUUGUUUUAAAUCAUAUAGACGCGUAAAAUGCAGAUAAGAUCACAAUUCCACUACUGGCACCAAAGAAAGGGAAACGCCUGCAAAAUGUGUCUUAUGUGAAGGCCAACAUCCAAUCAAUUACAAAAGCUGUGUGCUCUAUAAAGGAAUAAGGAAGCGAUGAUUUCCCCCACUAAGAGGUUCGAAAUCUUUCUGAUUUUUGCGUUGUAAACUUUAAACUUAAACAAAUAAAUUAGUAAAACACACAACACGUUGACGCAUGCCCUAAUGCAAGUCUGAACCUGUUUUGUUCUCUUGAUCCGAACAACAUUGUAAUCUGGUGGCUAGUCUGAUAUCCCCUGAGGGGGAACAUCCGAUCGCAGAGGAUUAAACAGUUGAAUCUUUAACAAUGUGCAAAAUAGCUAAUUGUGCGAAAUUCGAGGGCCGCCUGUAUUAUGAAAUUGCUAAAGCCAAAACAAAGAAAUGCAUUUAAAAUACUUUAUCCAAUGUAAUUAUUUUGUACAAUGUAAAAGGGAUAUAGAGAGCGAUGUGAGCAGUAUGUAGAAAAAUACUGAGCUUGCGAUGGACUAUAAUUUUGUUUAAUGUAUAACAUUUUGUGUUUAAACAUAAUAGAUUCAUGAAUCCGAGGCAGGAAAAUUGAAAGAAACGGGUGAAAAGAAAAACGACAAAGUAUUCAGAAUAAUAAUUACAACUCUAUCUGAUAAAUAGACAAGAUAAUUUUUAGUGGAAAGUAAGACAAAAAUAGUGUGGAAUCAGUUAAGAAAGUUAUAUGCUGGGAAUGCAGAAUACCGAAGGAUCAACAUAAAUCUGGAACCAAAAAAUAUCAAAAUGAAAAACACUGAAACAUAAUAUAGACUUAAACGGAAAUCAUAGAUGAAAAAGAGAAAAAACAUAUAGAGGAAGGACCAUAUGGCGAAAGAAUGUUCUUAUCAUCAUGAAAAGAAGAUUCAGACAAAUAGUUCAACGCAGGUAAGCAUACAUAAUCAAAAUGUAACUUACAGGAAUAAUAGAAGAGCAGGAAGUAGAAAGAAACAAAGCAACAUAAUAACUAACAGUAGAGAAGAGUAUACAUUCAGAGUUAUGGAAAAGACAAUCAUAGAAGACCAUAAUAGAUGGAUGUUAGAUUUGGGUGCCACAUUAUAUAUGACCAUAUAUUGAAAACAUAAUAAACUCAAUAAAACACAACAUUAGAAUCAACGCUGAAAAAUAUGAUAGGAGCCUAAAAUCAUAUGCAAAAGGAGAUAUAAAAGUAAAUAUUGUAACUCGAAAAAGGAACAAAUAAAAUAAAAAUAAAAGAUGUGCUUCAUAUAUCAAGAUUAAGAAGAAGUUUAUUAUCGGUGAAUCAAUUAAGUAGUAAAUAGGAAAGUAGUAAAUAGGAAAUUUGAAAGUUUAUUUAUAAAUAAUAACUUAACUAAAAACGAAAGUUUCUUUUAUGCUUUCUAUGUUGAAAACCUGUUAAUUAUGUUAUUUUCAACUUUAUCUUC